AACGGGUUACCAUGGUGACGGGCUCACUGACGUGCAUCGCGCAACCCGCGAUGACGUCAUCAUCCAGCGCCGCAGCGGCCGAGCGGGUCUCCGCCGGACGAAGCGAUGCACACUACACUUCACGUUGGUGGGGAUAUAAGGACUAACCAGCCUCAUCUUCAUCUGUCUGUGGAUGUCGCCUAUUGGCAAAAGCCUUCUUCUGUGGUGUUGCUGAGGAAAGAAAUAUAAAUGUUUCAGUGACCUUUCUUGCUUUCAAGUACAUGCAUCUGUACCAGAAUAUGCAUAAUUUUCUCUAAUAAACAGUGUGCAUUAUUUGUUUA